rnacentral:rRNA from 1 species
UUUACACAUGCAAGUCGAACGGCAGCGCGGACUUCGGUCUGGCGGCGAGUGGCGAACGGGUGAGUAAUAUAUCGGAACGUACCCAGUAGCGGGGGAUAACUACCCGAAAGAGUAGCUAAUACCGCAUACGCCUACGGGGGAAAGGGGGGAUCGCAAGACCUCUCACUAUUGGAGUGGCCGAUAUCGGAUUAGGCUAGUUGGUGGGGUAAAGGCCUACCAAGGCGACGAUCCGUAGCUGGUUUGAGAGGACGACCAGCCACACUGGGACUGAGACACGGCCCAGACUCC